AAUCUGUGAUGUGGCAUGCUCUAAUUAGAUCCUUAAAUCUCUCUCAAGCUUCGAAGAGAUAUUCAUUGUCCGUCUUCCUAAAGCAGGUAAUAUGGUUCCUAAGUUG